rnacentral:rRNA from 1 species
CACGUAGGGCGCAAGCGUUUGUCCGGAAUUAUUGGGCGUAAAGAGCUCGUAGGUGGUUUGUUACGUCUGCUGUGAAAUCCUAGGGCUUAACCCUGGGCUUGCAGUGGAUACGGGCAGACUAGAGGUAGGUAGGGGAGAAUGGAAUUCCUGGUGUAGCGGUGAAAUGCGCAGAUAUCAGGAGGAACACCGAUGGCGAAGGCAAUCCCCUGGGCCUGUACUGACGCUCAUGCACGAAAGCGUGGGGAGCAAACAGG